CAGUCGCCACGGGAAUACGUAGGGUGCGAGCGUUAAUCGGAAUUACUGGGCGUAAAGCGUGCGCAGGCGGUUGUGUAAGACAGGUGUGAAAUCCCCGGGCUUAACCUGGGAACUGCGCUUGUGACUGCACAGCCAGAGUAUGGCAGAGGGGGGUGGAAUUCCACGUGUAGCAGUGAAAUGCGUAGAGAUGUGGAGGAACACCGAUGGCGAAGGCAGCCCCCUGGGCCAAUACUGACGCUCAUGCACGAAAGCGUGGGGAGCAAACAGGAUUAGAUACCCGCGUAGUCCCUGUCUCUUAUAC
rnacentral:rRNA from 1 species